GCCCCCGUAGCUCAGCUGGAUAGAGCGUCGGUUUCCUAAACCGAGCGUCGCAGGUUCAAGUCCUGCCGGGGGUGCCA
rnacentral:tRNA from 2 species